rnacentral:rRNA from 1 species
GGAAUUUUUGACAAUGGGGGAAACCCUGAUCAAGCAACGCCGCGUGGAUGAUGAAGUAUCUCGGUACGUAAAAUCCUUUCGACAGGGAAGAAACCCAAUCUUCGGAUUGGUCUGACGGUACCUGUAGAAGAAGCCCCGGCUAACUCCGUUCCAGCAGCCGCGGUAAUACGGGGGGGGCAAGCGUUGUUCGGAUUUACUGGGCGUAAAGGGCGCGUAGGCGGUUCGUUAAGUCGGAUGUGAAAACUGUGGGCUCAACCCACAGCCUGCAUCCGAUACUGGCGGACUAGAGUGCGAGAGGGGAAGGCGGAAUUCCUGGUGUAGCGGUGAAAUGCGUAGAUAUCAGGAGGAACACCGGUGGCGAAGGCGGCCUUCUGGAUCGCAACUGACGCUGAGGCGCGAAAGCUAGGGGAGCA